UNUGGCUUAACUGGGGGCGUGCGGUGGGUACGGGCUGACUUGAGUGCGGUAGGGGAGACUGGAACUCNUGGUGUAGCGGUGGAAUGCGCAGAUAUCAGGAAGAACACCGAUGGCGAAGGCGGGUCUNUGGGCCGUUACUGACGCUGAGGAGCGAAAGCGUGGGGAGCGAACAGGAUUAGAUACCCUGGUAGUCCACGCUGUAAACGUUGGGCACUAGGUGUGGGGGCCACCCGUGGUUUNUGCGCCGUAGCUAACGCUUUAAGUGCCCCGCCUGGGGAGUACGGCCGCAAGGCUAAAACUCAAAGGAAUUGACGGGGGCCCGCACAAGCGGCGGAGCAUGCGGAUUAAUUCGAUGCAACGCGAAGAACCUUACCAAGGCUUGACAUGCACGGCGGCACUGCAGAGAUGUGGUGGCAUUUAGUUGGUCGUGUGCAGGUGGUGCAUGGUUGUCGUCAGCUCGUGUCGUGAGAUGUUGGGUUAAGUCCCGCAACGAGCGCAGCCCUUGCCCUAUGUUGCCAGCACGUGAUGGUGGGGACUCGUGGGGGACUGCCGGGGUUAACUCGGAGGAAGGUGGGGAUGACGUCAAAUCAUCAUGCCCCUUAUGUCUUGGGCUUCACGCAUGCUACAAUGGUUGGUACAGAGGGUUGCGAUAUCGUGAGGUGGAGCGAAUCCCUUAAAGCCAGUCCCAGUUCGGAUUGGGGUCUGCAACUCGACCCCAUGAAGGUGGAGUCGCUAGUAAUCGCAGAUCAGCAACGCUGCGGUGAAUACGUUCUCGGGCCUUGUACACACCGCCCGUCACGUCACGAAAGUUGGUAACACCCGAAGCCCAUG
rnacentral:rRNA from 1 species